UUUAAAUUGAAGUUAAAAAAAGAUGUGUCCACUAGGUGGAAUUCUACUUUUUUAAUGCUUUAAAGAGCAUUGUUAGCCAAAGAAGCUUUAGAUAUGUUUGCUAAAAGAGAGAAUAAUUACGAGUUUGGUCUUUCUCCACUUGAAUGGCAACAUAUUCAAUCGAUGUCUGAUUUUCUUGAGCCAUACUAUCUGAUUACAAAACUUUUUUCUGGUUCUGAUUAUCCAACUUCAAACCAUUACUUUGCUAAUAUUAUGAGUAUUGAAAAGCUUUUACACGAUGCCCAUGUUGAUGAUGAUCCAAUGAUAAGAAUAAUGGCUGGUAAGAUGCAAGGUAAGUUUGAUAAAUAUUGGAGCAAUUAUCCUGUAAUUUUAUCUUUUGCUGUGAUUUUUGACUCUCGUUUCAAGCUUGAUUUGGUGAAGAACUUGUACUCUAUCCUAUAUGUUGAUGAUGCAACUAAUAGUAAGACACAAUUUGUGCUUUCUGAAUUUAUUGAGAUGUACAAUUUUUAUGCCAAAUCUUCAACACCGUGCUCUUCAUCUUCAUCUUCAUUACAAAGCACAUCAACAUCUGUUUCGCCUUUCGCCCCUCCUAGACCAUUUAAGACAAGCGAUAUUUACAAGGUUAUUUUACUCUUUUUUUAUUUAUUUAUUUAGUUAACCAACUAUAUGUUUUGAAGAUCAUAUUAUUUUUAUUUUUUUUAGAAUUUCACUUCAACUGUAGCUCCUAGUAGAGUUGGCAGUUCCACAUCUGAAGUUGAUGCCUAUUUGAGUUUGCCAUUGAGGUCCAGUUUUCCGGGUGAAGAGUUCGAUAUCCUUAAUUAUUGGAAAGAGCAAUCUGCCUCUUAUCCAAUCCUCUCUCGAAUGGCAAAAGAUGUACUCGCCAUUCCUAUAACCUUCGUUGCCUCAGAAUCUUCAUUCAGCAUGGGUGGUCGAAUUUUGACCAAGAUAAGGAGUUGUCUCACGGAUGAACACCUCGAAGCUUUGGUUACUUCUAAAAAUUGGUUGGAUGGUUAUGAUGAAGAAGAGGCUGAAAAUUGUGAACUUGACACUGAGCCUUCAAUUGAUUAUUUAGUGUUAUCUUGCUGAAAUUCUUAUUUUGAGUUACUUGUCACAAGAAAACUUUUGUUUGAAGGCCGUAGAGUGUUGUAGAAGGUGCACCUGCUUCUCUUUUGUGCUCCUUUGAAGUGGUGUUGCCAAGAGGGCAAUAACGAUCUUCUUUUGAUAUUUUGUAACUAAAACUUGUUAAGUUGUUAUGUUGUGCAAUGUAUAGUGGCACUACAACUUUGGAUAAAUGGUUGGUCUUACAGCUUUUCCAACGUUUAUUCCUUGCUAUAUUUUUGGUACAUAAACUUAAAAUCCUCUUUUGAUGUAAUA